rnacentral:misc_RNA from 1 species
GAUGAAGAACGCAGCAAAAUGCGAUAAGUAAUGUGAAUUGCAGAAUUCAGUGAAUCAUCGAAUCUUUGAACGCACAUUGCGCCCGCUGGUAUUCCGGCGGGCAUGCCUGUUCGAGCGUCAUUUCAACCCUCAAGCCCCCGGGUUUGGUGUUGGGGAUCGGCUCUGCCCUUCUGGGCGGUGCCGCCCCCGAAAUACAUUGGCGGUCUCGCUGCAGCCUCCAUUGCGUAGUAGCUAACACCUCGCAACUGGAACGCGGCGCGGCCAUGCCGUAAAACCCCAACUUCUGAAUGUUGACCUCGGAUCGGGUAGGAAUACCCGCUGAACUUAAGCAUAUCAAUAAGCGGAGGA